CAGGCACACUAAUGGCCGCCUUAAAAGCUCUGAAACUUUGAACACAAAGUUGUUACACGGGACCAAGCGGCCUACCGUUGGGUCUUUGAUGUGCCUGCUUUAUCCGAAGGGAUGAUUAUUAAGUUUGAUAUUGUUGCUCAUGGACGUGGAAUGGGAUGCCCGACUGUCAUCAAAAUGUCAACAGUCUUAUCAUACGUUUGCUGAUAUUUUGCUUUUAAAGCGAAACGGAUGAGAUGACGUUUCAAAUGUCAAAAACCGCAACCUGCUUGGAGUCAACUCUGCAAUGUUCUUUAUAUUACAAUCCGUGUGGAAACUCCACACGCCUCUGUCCCGGAUAGAAAAUCCCAUAUCGUUUGAGUCAUUGAGGAAUGUCGACUCUUUAAAUGUUGUUCCUGCGCCGCUCGUGCAGGCCGCCGAGAGACGGAGAGAGAUCCAGAGCGGCCAUGUGAGAGAUCUGAGCGCAUUCAGCAUGUUCUUUUGUCUGAGCUGACGACCAGCUGGUCCCACAUCCUGCCUGCCACUGUCCUAGCCUCACACUCCACGCCCUGAUCUGGUGUGUGUGUGCAUGUGUGUGUGCGUGUGUGUGUGUGUGAGUGUGAGAGCAAAUUUGUGGAGGUGGUGCUAGUUGGGCUAUAAUUUAUUCCUAAAGGGGGAUUAACAGCAGGAGGAGGCUUGGGGAGGAAGGCAGGGGGUCUUUUCAAUAGUAGAGGAGGUGAUCUCGGAAGUGAGCUACAACUGAUCCUGAAGUCCUUUGGGGAGCUGGUGAUCGGAUCAUCCAACCAUGAGUUGAUUAUUCUUUUAAAGACUGCUACUGAUUCAUCCCUUUAGGGGAUUUUUUAAAAUUUCUUUUGCAGCGCUGUUGCGUCAACCUUCAUCCAACACACCAAUGGCAGGGUCCUUCAUAAAACUUUUGUCAGGCCACCGUGAGUAACGAUUUGGUGGCCCUGCCGUUCAUUAGAGUUGUCCUUUUUUAGUGAAGAAAAAAAUCCGGACCGUGCUGACCGUUUCGGCUGUCACUUUAGUCUUCGUUUGAGUGGUCACUGCUUCCUUGUGACUUAUUAAAAAAAAAAACCCAGCUGACCGGGUCGGGAAACCUUCAAAAUAAAGCUCACCGUCCGGGUGAAGGCUGCCAACCGCCAAUCAGCUCACGGGGGAUAAAUUCACUAGUGUCACACGGGGAACCAAUCACGCGGCCUCCAAGGAAAACUUUCUCUCUCGCGCAUCAACAAUGGCUCUCUCCACAAUAUGGCGGCCAAUAUGGCUGUAUUUAUUUUUCAUUUUUAUUUUUUGAUUUAUUUAAAAAAGAUUAACAAAUGCAGUACCGGUAUUUUCUCAAAACCCGCGAAGCGCAGUAGCCGCAAAAAAAGUGGUGAGGGAUUACCGUCCAUAAAUUACUGUGCAAAAUCCAGUGCCAAAAAUUUGCUGUCCUAAAUGAACUGUUAAUAUAAGUGUGACAAAACUUAGUAUGAAAAUAAUAAAACUAUUAAAAUACAAAUUAAAUAAUAAAAUAAAAAAGAAACUAUCAAAUCCACCCCCC